UACGGAGGGUGCGAGCGUUGUCCGGAAUCACUGGGCGUAAAGGGCGCGUAGGCGGCAUGCCAAGCGUGUGGUGAAAGCCCGGGGCUCAACCCCGGGUCGGCCGUGCGGACUGGCGUGCUUGAGCACUGUAGGGGCGGUGGAAUCCGGGUGUAGCGGUGGAAUGCGUAGAGAGUCCGGAAGAACACCGGUGGCGAAGGCGGCCCGCUGGGCAGGAAGGAAGCGCAAGCUUCCGGCUGCGCUGAGGCGCGACAGCGUGGGAGCAACAGGA
rnacentral:rRNA from 1 species